GCGCUUCAGCAGAACAUAUACUAAAACUGGAACGACACAGAAAAGAUUAGCAUGGCCCCUGCACAAGGAUGACAUGCAAAUUCAUGAAGCAAUCCAUAUUUUC
rnacentral:snRNA from 1 species